GACGAACGCUGGCGGCGUGCCUAAUACAUGCAAGUAGAACGCACAGUUUAUACCGUAGCUUGCUACACCAUAGACUGUGAGUUGCGAACGGGUGAGUAACGCGUAGGUAACCUGCCAGGUAGCGGGGGAUAACUAUUGGAAACGAUAGCUAAUACCGCAUAAUAUUGAUUAUUGCAUGAUAAUUAAUUGAAAGGUGCAAUUGCACCACUACCAGAUGGACCUGCGUUGUAUUAGCUAGUAGGUGAGGUAACGGCUCACCUAGGCGACGAGACAUAGCCGACGGGGGAGGGGGGUCGGCCACCCUGGGACGGAGACACGGCCCAGACGCCUACGAGAGGCAGCAGUAGGGAAUCUUCGGCAAUGGAGGAGAGUCUGACCGAGCAAGGCCGAGUGAGUGAAGAAGGUGUUCGGAUCGUAAAGCUCUGUUGUAAGAGAAGAACGGGUGUGAGCGUGGAAAGUUCACACUGUGACGGUAUCUUAACAGAAAGGGACGGCUAACUACGUG
rnacentral:rRNA from 1 species